UUGCCCAUCGGGGCCACGGAUACCUGCUUUUAAUUUUU
rfam:TPA: Bos taurus chromosome X, whole genome shotgun sequence.